AUUGAACGCUGGCGGCAUGCCUUACACAUGCAAGUCGAACGGUAACAGGUCUUCGGAUGCUGACGAGUGGCGAACGGGUGAGUAAUACAUCGGAACGUGCCCGAUCGUGGGGGAUAACGCAGCGAAAGCUGUGCUAAUACCGCAUACGAUCUACGGAUGAAAGCGGGGGAUCUUCGGACCUCGCGCGGACGGAGCGGCCGAUGGCAGAUUAGGUAGUUGGUGAGGUAAAGGCUCACCAAGCCGACGAUCUGUAGCUGGUCUGAGAGGACGACCAGCCACACUGGGACUGAGACACGGCCCAGACUCCUACGGGAGGCAGCAGUGGGGAAUUUUGGACAAUGGGCGCAAGCCUGAUCCAGCCAUGCCGCGUGCAGGAUGAAGGCCUUCGGGUUGUAAACUGCUUUUGUACGGAACGAAAAGGUUCUUUCUAAUAAAGAGAGCUCAUGACGGUACCGUAAGAAUAAGCACCGGCUAGCUACGCGCCAGCCGCCGCCGUAA
rnacentral:rRNA from 1 species